UACGAAGGGGGCUAGCGUUGCUCGGAAUCACUGGGCGUAAAGCGCACGUAGGCGGCUUUUUAAGUCAGGGGUGAAAUCCUGGAGCUCAACUCCAGAACUGCCUUUGAUACUGAGAGGCUUGAGUCCGGGAGAGGUGAGUGGAACUGCGAGUGUAGAGGUGAAAUUCGUAGAUAUUCGCAGGAACACCAGUGGCGAAGGCGGCUCACUGGCCCGGUACUGACGCUGAGGUGCGAAAGCGUGGGGAGCAAACAGG
rnacentral:rRNA from 1 species